UACAGAGGGGGCAAGCGUUGUUCGGAAUUACUGGGGCGUAAAGGGCGCGUAGGCGGCCGCCUAAGUCAGACGUGAAAUCCCUCGGCUCAACCGGGGAACUGCGUCUGAUACUGGGUGGCUUGAAUUCGGGAGAGGGAUGCGGGAAUUCCAGGUGUAGCGGUGAAAUGCGUAGAUAUCUGGAGGAACACCGGUGGCGAAGGCGGCAUCCUGGACCGGUUCUGACGCUGAGGCGCGAAAGCGUGGGGAGCAAACAGG
rnacentral:rRNA from 1 species